rnacentral:rRNA from 1 species
GACGAACGCUGGCGGCGUGCUUAACACAUGCAAGUCGAACGGUGAACUCGAGAGCUUGCUCUUGAGGGAUCAGUGGCGAACGGGUGAGUAACACGUGAGUAACCUGCCCCAGACUCUGGAAUAACACCUGGAAACAGGUGCUAAUACCGGAUACGACACGAACAGGCAUCUGUAUCGUGUGGAAAGUUUUUCGGUCUGGGAUGGACUCGCGGCCUAUCAGCUAGUUGGUGAGGUAACGGCUCACCAAGGCGACGACGGGUAGCCGGCCUGAGAGGGCGACCGGCCACACUGGGACUGAGACACGGCCCAGACUCCUACGGGAGGCAGCAGUGGGGAAUAUUGCACAAUGGGCGAAAGCCUGAUGCAGCGACGCCGCGUGAGGGAUGACGGCCUUCGGGUUGUAAACCUCUUUCAGUAGGGAAGAAGCGAAAGUGACGGUACCUACAGAAGAAGCACCGGCUAACUACGUGCCAGCAGCCGCCGCAGUAA